GGUGCCGUGGUGUAGUUGGUUAUCACGUCAGUCUAACACAUUGAAGGUCUCCAGUUCAAAUCUAGGCGGCGCCA
rnacentral:tRNA from 1 species